AACAAUAUCCUGGUGCUGCUUGAGUUCUGCUUCCACACUCCAGCAUCAGUGAUUUUGUUG
ensembl:miRNA gmo-mir-338-3 gmo-mir-338-3